rnacentral:lncRNA from 1 species
GUUUCAUGUUGCUUUGGAAUUUUAUUUUUUACAUUUUUUAUUAUCAAAUUCAAUGAAGCGAUUUCAUUUUAUUUAUACUUCCAGUUUAUUGCAGGGAACAUCUAUAAGAGACUGAAGUCCUUCACAUAAAGUACCAUUUAUAGAUCCUUUCACAUCAUUACACUCCAGAGAAUAGCGAGGCCAGGGGAAAUACAAUAAACACAUUAAAUAAAUGCAUAUUUAAUUUGAACAUUUUAUACACCAUCCUUUUCUGAGGAAUUACUAUAGCAGAUUUAACUAAUACAAUAACUAUUACAGUUAGGGCUGGAGUCAAUCCGUAUUGCGGUAGUUCCACGUUAUAGCUUGAUUGAAAUCCUUGGGACAUCCCUACCCUAAACCCUAACCAUUUAAAAUGUUAACUUCAAUGGGGUGACGUCCCAAGGAUCCCAGCUAGCAUGGAUUGUUCGCGGAGACUAUUCACAGCUGCCUGAGAUAUUAUAGAAAGGAGAUAGGAAUCCCAUUGGGCAAUGAAUUGAGAAAUGCUGCAGCCAGCGGUUGCUAAACUAAUCGUCACGCAAUCCCUUCUCAAAGUCAGGGUAUGUUGGUGCUUUCAAGACAACUGGGAACUCGGUCAAAUCAAAACAUCAGUGAUUUUUCAGGUCGGAAAUUCGGUGAUCAAGAAAGAUGCCUGUGUUUCCGAAUUGGAAUUCCAGUUGGGUGACCAUUCAAAACCAUUUUUCACUGUCGGAGCUUAUUUUUUUCCCUAGUUCCAAGUUGUCUUGAAGUCUGAGAUUUCUGAGUUCCCAGUUGUUUUGAAUGCGGCAUGAGUUGAGAAACCGGCCUUUUUUCCUAGAAAGUAUGUAAUGGCACGAUUCCAAAGCUAUAAGAUAUUACAGAGAAUGUAUUUUUAUUUUAUUUAACUACUUAACAACAAAUUCUUAUUUACAAUGACGGCCUACCCCGGCCAAAUCUGGACGACGCUGGGCCAAUUGUGCCCAGCUAUGGGACUCCCAAUCAUCGCCGGAUGUGAUACAGCCUGGAUUCGAACCAGGGACUGCAGUGACACUCUUGCACUGAGAUACAGUGCCUUAGACCGCUGCGCCACUCGGAAGUCUAGAACAAGUUAAUUAUCUCACAUCUCUGAAAAGAUGUGUAAUGUUGUACUUCUUGUUCACAACAUUUAUGCUAAUUUUGGGAUGAGCUAGCACCCAAUUGACUCCCAUUCACAUGAUGGAGAAUAGGGCCUAUUGUGCCAAAAUUGCCCAGAAUGCACUGCACGGCCCAUUGACGACGCAUGGGCAACGUAUACAAUGGCCGUUAAUACGAUUCAAAUGGAGUUUCCCCAUCUCCUCAAAAGUAUCUCUGACGCUGCAUGUCGGCUCAAUCGGAAAUCACCUUUACAUUUUAACAUGAAUCUUCCACGAUAUGGACUGAAUCCAGACCCUAUAUUUUUACAGCAUACAAUUCACAACAGCACAUAAAUAAACACAAACUAUGCACACACACAAAAUGUAUUUAGCUAUUUUUGACAUAUCUCUUGGUUUGCCUGACAGACACUGACCAUCUAUCAAUUUGCUGUCAAUUCAGGCUGAAAGAGGAGAUAAUUACAUAUUUCUGUAACUGUAGUGGUCUGUUGAGUUGCAUCUAGGAAUUUGUGGUGAGUUAUCUAGCAUAAAUGUAAUGUUUGGUCCAUGAGGGGAACAAGACUUACAUUUUUAUUGAUCAUUAUCAAUAUUGUCAGUUAGCAUUGAUGGGUUACAGUUUAGGUCAAUUCAAUAAAUAGUUGUAUGCAAAUACAAAGAAUGAUAACAUUUCAAUCAAUAGCAUAACAGAGAGGACUUAUGUUCAAUAACUUAAAUUAGAGUGUGUGUAUAUAUAAUCUUCUGAUGUUUCAGGGGAAUUUAUGUCACCAUGUACUCCUGCCUCUUGUUGAGUCUGACCUGGCAGAGUGACACUGCCCCCACUGCAACAUAGAUGGCUGCUGCAAUGAAGCAGUUGAUGCCCACCUGGUUGUAGAGUCCAUAGAUGGUUCCCGGUGGGUUCUUACUGUGGGGCAGAGAGAGAUGAGCCAAAUAGAUGAGUUUGGGGAAAACAACCCAAGCGAGGCAACAUGGGAUGGUUUACAAAGAGUGAAUUCAAAGGGCAUCUACACUAGUAGUCAAACUAAGCACCUAAUGGUCCCUUUUCUUCACACCACUUACUCAUUGCGGAUGUCCUCCUCAGUGAAGGGCACAUCCUCAAUCAGCACAGCAGACUUUGCACUGAAGAAGAUCCCCAACAUCACCUGCAAUACAAAAAGAUGAUACAUAUGUAGGGAUGCACGAUAUGUCGAUGAACAUAUCGGAAUCGGACGAUAUUAGCUAAAAAUGCCAACAUCGGUAUCGGCCGAUGUCUAGUUUAACGCCCAAUGUGCAAAACCGAUGUCAAAGCUGACGUGCAUACCUAUAUAACGAAGGUACAUGACGUAAUGACACCACGUAAAAUGUUGCUCUGUACGUGCAACACAGCAUUCCUAAACUAGCCCACAAUGUCUGCUGUGUGGAUCGAGCAGUCAACAAGUCAAGCAGUCAUUUGAAA